GUUGUCAAGUGAUGAAAUCUGGAAAAUCUUAGGACACCUUCCUACACGGCUGUCUAGCUGUGGAUGAGAACAACAUUCCAGACUGAUGAUGAU